ACNUCGGAUCAGNNNNGAAUACCCGCUGAACUUAAGCAUAUCANUAAGCGGAGGAAAAGAAACCAACAGGGAUUGCCCUAGUAACGGCGAGCGAAGCGGCAACAGCUCAAAUUUGAAAUCUGGNUACUUUGUAGUCCGAGUUGUAAUUUGUAGAGGAUGCUUUUGGUGAGGUGCCUUCCGAGUUCCNUGGAACGGGACGCCAGAGAGGGUGAGAGCCCCGUACGGUUGGAUACCAAACCUUUGUAUAGCUCCUUCAACGAGUCGAGUAGUUUGGGAAUGCUGCUCUAAAUGGGAGGUAUAUCUCUUCUAAAGCUAAAUAUAGGCUAGAGACCGAUAGCGCACAAGUAGAGUGAUCGAAAGAUGAAAAGCACUUUGAAAAGAGAGUUAAACAGCACGUGAAAUUGUUGAAAGGGAAGCGCCUAUGACCAGACUUGUUUCUUUCAGUUUUGUUAGUUCUCGGACUGAUUUACUCUGUUAGUACAGGCCAGCAUCAGUUUGUUGUCGGGGAGAAAGGCUUAGGGAAUGUGGCUCCUCCGGGAGUGUUAUAGCCCUUUG
rnacentral:rRNA from 1 species